AGUUGGUCAAAUGGCAGUGGGUUAUCAGAACUUGUUAACAUUAGUGUCACUAAAAUUCAUAUACACCCUCCUGAUAAGUUUGACUGUAUUAAA
rnacentral:Y_RNA from 1 species